AUGAGGUGCCCUGCUCAGCUCCUGGGGCUGCUCAUGCACUGGAUCCCAGGAUGCAGUGGAGAUGUUGUGAUGACCCAGACUCCACUCUCCCUGCCUGUCACCCUGGGAGAGCCGGCCUCCAUCUCCUGCAGGUCUAGCCAAAGCAUCCUGCAUAGCGAUAAGAAAACUUAUCUGAAUUGGUACUUGCUAAAGCCAGGCCUGGCUCCACAACUCCUGAUCUACAGGGUUUCCAGGAGAGUUUCUGGGGUCCCAGACAGGUUCAGUGGCAGUGGAUCACGUACAGAUUUCACAUUGACCAUCAGCAAAGUGGAAGCUGAGGAUAUUGGGGAUUAUUAUUGCAUGCAAGGUACACAUUUUCCUCCAUAG